UACGUAGGGGGCAAGCGUUGUCCGGAUUUAUUGGGCGUAAAGAGCGUGUAGGCGGCUUUACAGGUCCGUUGUGAAAACUCGAGGCUCAACCUCGAGACGCCGGUGGAAACCGUAAAGCUAGAGUCCGGAAGAGGAGAGUGGAAUUCCUGGUGUAGCGGUGAAAUGCGCAGAUAUCAGGAGGAACACCCGUGGCGAAAGCGGCUCUCUGGGACGGUACUGACGCUGAGGCACGAAGGCCAGGGGAGCAAACGGG
rnacentral:rRNA from 1 species